rnacentral:lncRNA from 1 species
AAACGUGGUCUAACCCGCCGGCUUGGUCCAUUUGACCUUAUACUUCUCGGGAUCGGUGCUUCCAUUGGUGCCGGUAUCUUCGUUGUCACCGGCACCGUUGCUCGCACUUCCGGACCUGGUAUGUAUAGAAUUUUAACUUUAACUCAACAGAAUUUUUACUCAAGAAAGUUAAUUGAGAGAGGGAACAUCCAUCUUGUAUGUCCAAUAAAACCUGGGACAAUCAUACUUCAUCAUGCUUAUAAGUUAUAUGUUUGUUUUUUUUUUUUUUUUGACAAAAUGAUUAUAACAUGGUUAUAAAAAUAAAUUAGUAUAAUUUUUAUGUUAGAUUUUUUUUAUAAGAAUGAUAUAUAUGUAUCUCAAGAUGUACAGCAAGCAACAUGUUGGUUAGGUACACUCCUUCAAAAAAAAAAAAAAGAUGUUGCUUAGGUACAUCCACAAUAUUUCUAUAAAAAUAAUAGUAUUACUUUUUUUUAAAAGAAAAAAUAAUAUUAGUUUUGUAAAUCGAUUUUGUCAAUGUAAAGAAUAAUAUACCUUUUAGAUAUUAAACGCAAUCCGAUUAAAAAAUAGAUAUUAAAAGCAAAAUUUAAAAGAUAUUAACGGUCAAUGUAAAUCAAUUUGUGUGUGGUUUGUUCACUAGUUUGAGCUUUUUGUUUGUUUUAUGAUUUGAUUUUUAGGUUGUUGUAAGUUGAUACUUUAGUCUCAUUUCCAAGCACAAUUGUGUUGGAUAUGAGGCAUUGACAAUUUUAUUAUAUUUCAUUUUAGUUUCUUAAAAAUAAAUUCUAAGCAUAAUAUAAUUUACAAGUUUGUCAUAUACUCUUACUUUUGUAACAAUAUUUCCAAAAUAAUAGAAUAUAUAGAAAAGAAAUAGUCCUAUUAGAUAUUAGUAUAAAGUGUUUUCCAAAAUAAAUUAGUAUUAAAUAAAAUUUUCAAUUCAUCUUCUUUAAGAGUCUAUUCAAUAUGUCCAUGUAAGUUUAAUUUAUCUAUCAAACUCAAGACGACUCACUUUUUUUUUUUGUUGAAUCCCUGUUCCCUUAUUCACCUUACAUAUGUAAAUUCUUAGCAACUAGAUUAUUUGAAGAAAAAAAUGUAUCCAAUAUUUUAGUUGAAAGUGAUGCGCUCAACGCUAGCUAUCACAUACUUGACAUGACCUAUAAAAUGCAGGCUCGAUACCUCACAAACGGAGAUACCAAACACGCAACUAAUAUCAUUUUCAAUGACGGUAUCUCACACAAUAUGAAAAGUUUAUUUAUUAUAAUGAUUUUAUUCAUAUGUAAUUUUACAUUUUAUUAAAGUAUAAUACUUUAAUCUUAUAGAAAAGUAAAAGUAUCUUAUGUUUAAUCUUAUAAAUAUUUAUGAUUUUAUAAGAAUGAUCACAAAUAUAUUUAUUUAUCUCUUAAUUUAAAAACAAAAAAGGUAUGAUGGGUUUGAUAGUGAUUGAAGUGUGGGGCGUGCUUGAAUCCAAUCUCAACCAUAAUUUGUACCUACAUUUUAUUACCUCUCUAUUUUAUUUUUGGUGAUAUAUUUUUUAUAACAAAAUGCUCAAGUGAACACUUGACCAAAAAUAAAAAUGCUCAAGUGAAUUUGUUCUAGAAUCAAUUAAGGUUAUAAGAGACCUCAAAACUCAAUAAACUCUAACCAAGAAAGACAUUUACAUAUCAUUGAUUAGAGAUGUAUUCACGUUAGUAUUGACAUUCAAAUAAAUGUUUUUGGGGUAUUUAGAACAGACUUCUUAAUCGCAGAAUUGUUGAUAAAAAUAUACUAUUUUUUCUCCACCUUAAAAAUUAGGUAUUGUCUGAUGGACACCCCCACACGCUAAUUCUACAUUUUACUUUAAAUUUCCACUAUAAAAAAUAAAAUAAAAAUAGAGAAAUGAUAUCUGUACAAUCAUUUUUGUACAAUUUUUGUACAAUAUUCUCUCUCAUACUCACAUUAUCUUCUUAUUCUCUUUUUUCAUUUUUCUCUCUCUAUUGUUUUUGACCAAUAAAAAGAGAACACAACAAGAUUGUCCCAAAAAUUAUACCAAAAGAGUUGUUCAAAUAUCACUACUCAUAAAAAAUAAGAUAACAGUGUGUUGAAAUGUAUAGACGUGGGUUCCACUCGAUAUGUCGAAUGAAUGGAUAGGUGUCUUCAAACAUCAGUCCAAAAAAUAUUGUAAAUGUAUCUAACCAACAUGUUGGUUGUUGUACAUCUUGGCAUAUAGGUAAAACAAAAUUUUGCUAAAAAAAGCAAGUAAAUAAACCAAAUAUUUUUUUGAAACAAAACAAGUAAAUGAGUUAAUUUUUUACUCAAAAAAAGAAGUAAAUAAGUCAAUUUAAUUUUGACAAAAAAAGUAAGUAAAUUAAUUAAAACCAUGUUAUUCAUCAAAAUACAAAUAACAUUUUGUUCAUUAUUUUCCUACUUAUUAAAUCCCUUUUCUCAUUCUAAAUUAUAAACAUUUCAACUUUUAAAUUCAUUAAAUAAUUAAUGUAUUUGAUCUAUAUUAGAGAUCAAAUACAUUAAUUAUUUUAUUAAUCAUGAUUUUUUGUUUAUAAUUGAGAUCGAAAUAAAAAAUAUAUUCAUAGCAAUAACUUCACCUGAAUCCAAAUAAAACUUUCUUCAUAAUUCAAUUUGCUACGAAAAACCAUGGGAAUUCGUAGCAAUUCUCCUUCUUCUUCAUUUUCUUCAUCAUCUUCUACGUGUUGUUCACGUUUCUUGUCAUCGGCACUCCGAUCCAAACGCGUC